rnacentral:rRNA from 1 species
GAUGAACGCUGGCGGCGUGCCUAACACAUGCAAGUCGAGCGAUUCUCUUCGGAGAAUAGCGGCGGACGGGUGAGUAACGCGUGGGUAACCUGCCCUGUACACACGGAUAACAUACCGAAAGGUAUGCUAAUACGAGAUAAUAUGCUUUUCUCGCAUGGUAUAAGUAUCAAAGCUUUUGAGGUACAGGAUCGACCCGCGUCUGAUUAGCUAGUUAGUAAGGUAACGGCUUACCAAGGCGACGAUCAGUAGCCGACCUGAGAGGGUGAUCGGCCACAUUGGAACUGAGACAAGGUCCAAACUCCUACGGGAGGCAGCAGUGGGGAAUAUUGCACAAUGGGCGAAAGCCUGAUGCAGCAACGCCGCGUGAGCGAUGAAGGCCUUCGGGUCGUAAAGCUCUGUCCUCAAGGAAGAUAAUGACGGUACUUGAGGAGGAAGCCCCGGCUAACUACGUGCCAGCCGCCGCGGUAA